AUGCUCUCACUUCCACACCACAUGUACUACAACUGGAAAGAUUCAGUGAGGAUUAGCAUGGCCCCUGUACAAGGAUGACACCAUAUUCAUGAAGCAUUCUGUAUUUUC